GUCACUGAUCAUUAUCACUUAAUCUUCAAUCAGAGGCGUUAAUAUAAUAAUAGAUCAAGAUCUAGAUGAAAAUUAUCAGUUGUAGUAUGAGAUUAUUAGCUCGUAAAGGAUAAAAGUCUGAUUUGUUUUGAUCGAUUUCGAUGAUAAUUUCAUGAAAAUUUCGCCUCGAAUCUGCAUAGUGAAGUGAUCGUUCAGUCCCACCUUGUCCUGUUCGCGUUUGCUGUUUUCAUAGUUGGAACAAUUUAAAUAAAGCAGGUCGACAAACAUGGCCCUUGGAUUUUUGGUUGGAUUUGCAUCAGGAACUGUGUUUGGUGUAUAUCUCUCCCAGCAUUACGAUAUUCCAGAUGUAGGCAACCUUCUGACAACGUUCAAAGAAACUGCCAAGAAGUAUGAGAAGAAGGAUGACAAGAAGGAGUCAUGAUAACAUCCAGGUAACCUAUCUCUUUAGUUUCAGAUAUUAAUG